rnacentral:rRNA from 1 species
GAUGAACGCUGGCGGCGUGCCUAAUACAUGCAAGUCGAGCGAACAGACGAGGAGCUUGCUCCUCUGACGUUAGCGGCGGACGGGUGAGUAACACGUGGAUAACCUACCUAUAAGACUGGGAUAACUUCGGGAAACCGGAGCUAAUACCGGAUAAUAUAUUGAACCGCAUGGUUCAAUAGUGAAAGACGGUUUUGCUGUCACUUAUAGAUGGAUCCGCGCCGCAUUAGCUAGUUGGUAAGGUAACGGCUUACCAAGGCGACGAUGCGUAGCCGACCUGAGAGGGUGAUCGGCCACACUGGAACUGAGACACGGUCCAGACUCCUACGGGAGGCAGCAGUAGGGAAUCUUCCGCAAUGGGCGAAAGCCUGACGGAGCAACGCCGCGUGAGUGAUGAAGGUCUUCGGAUCGUAAAACUCUGUUAUUAGGGAAGAACAAAUGUGUAAGUAACUAUGCACGUCUUGACGGUACCUAAUCAGAAAGCCACGGCUAACUACGUGCCAGCAGCCGCGGUAAUACGUAGGUGGCAA